rnacentral:rRNA from 1 species
CCCUUAGAUGUUCUGGGCCGCACGCGCGCUACACUGAUGCAUUCAACGAGUCUAAAACCUGCUCUGAUAGGGGUGGGUAAUCUUUUGAAUGUGCAUCGUGAUUGGGAUAGAUGAUUGAAAUUUUUCAUCUUCAACGAGGAAUGCCUAGUAAACGCAAGUCAUCAGCUUGCAUUGAUUACGUCCCUGCCCUUUGUACACACCGCCUGUCGCUCCUACCGAUUGAAUGAUCCGAUGAAUAUCAUGGAUUGAGGAUGCAAGUAGGUUCACCUAUCUUCAUCUUCGAGAAGUGAAGUAAAUCUUAUCAUUUAGAGGAAGGAGAAGUCGUAACA